AUUCACUCAUACAUUUAUGACUAGUCUACCGUUGAAAGCAGUGACUUGGUGUAUCUUUUAUAGCUCUCUAUGUUUAAUAAUUAGCUCUGCCAUAAUUCCCGCCAUGGAGAGCAUUCAAUAUUACACAUAGAGAGCGAUCUGUCCUUGAACAAUUCAAGAUGAGUAUUAAGCUAUAUCUACGUUAUGUAGACAAUGUUUGUGUUGUAUGUAAUGGAGAGCAGAGUACUGAAGAUGAAAACUGCCUAGUGGAAAGCCUAACAGAUCAAACCAUGGGUUUGAAACUUAAGUUGAAACAAAGCUCCGCAAACACUUUCCAUUUCUUGGAUAUACAGGUUAACGUAAAAAUGAAGAAUAUGUCACGACGGUAUAUAAGAAACCCACAUAUACACCGGUUAUAAUACUGGCCUGGCC
rnacentral:lncRNA from 1 species